rnacentral:lncRNA from 1 species
CAAAUACAAUCAGGUCCCGACUACGGAGCCAAAAUAAAAGAAGACUACCCCAAAUUCUACACAGAUCCCCGAUCGUCCAGACUAGGCUCCACUACUGAUCAACUAGAACGAAACAACACAAAGGAUAAGAUCUUCAUCGAGCUCCUCCUUGAGCUUGUUUGCGUCACCUACUCGGUAACAUCGGCACCUGCAAACUGGUUUUGGAAGUAUCUGUGAGUCACGGGGACUCAGCAAUCUCGCACCCUCGCGAUCAAGACUAUUUAAGCUUAUAGGAAGGGUAAAAGGUAUGAGGUGGAGCUGCCGCAAGCGACUAGCAUAUAUUGUGGCUAAAACAUACGCAAAUGAGAGCGAGAAGAGAAGGCAAAGCACGAUCGUGAAACUAUGAUCAAGAAGUGAUCCUAGAACAACCUACGUCAAGCAUAACUCCAACACCGUGUUCACUUCCCGGACUCCUCCGGAAAGAGACCAUCAUGGUUACACACGCGGUUGAUGCAUUUUAAUUAAGGUCAACUUCAGGUUUUCUACAACCGGACAUUAACAAAUUCCCAUCUGCCCAUAACUGCGGGCAUGGCUUUCGAAAGUUCAAAUCCCUGCAGGGGUGUCCCAACUUAGCCCAUGACAAGCUCUCACGGUCAACGAAGGAUAUACCUUCUCCCGAGACAUUCCGAUCAGACUUGGUAUCCCGGUUCUACAAGACACUUCGACAAGUUAAAACAAAUCCAACAACACCGCCCGAAUGUGCCGACAAAUCCCGAUAGGAGCUGCACAUAUCUCGUUCUCUGGGCACACUCAGAUGAGACAUCCUACGAGUAAAACCAAACCUCAAGUUGCCAUGAGGUGGCCCCGCAGUCUGCUCGGUCGGACCAACACUCAGAGGAGCACUGGCCCGGGGGGGUUAGAAUAAAGAUGACCCUUGAGUCUGCAGAACCCAAGGGAAGGUGGUAGGUUGUUAGUGCAAAUGGUAAAACCAAGGUUGGGCAUUGCUGGAGGAGUUUUAUUCAAGGCGAACUGUCAAGGGGUUCCCAUUAUUACCCAACCGCGUAAGGAACACAAAUCCGGGAACAUAACACCGAUAUGACGGAAACUAGGGCGGCAAGAGUGGAACAAAACACUAGGCAAAAGGCCGAGCCUUCCACCCUUUACUAAGUAUAUAGAUGCAUUAGUUAAAAUAAGAUAUAUUGUGAUAUCCCAACAAAUAUCAUGUUCCAACAAGGAACAACAUCUCCAUGUUCCAACAAGGAACAAACUUCAAUCUUCACCUGCAACUAACAACGCUAUAGGAGGGGCUGAGCAAAGCGGUAACAUAGCCAAACAACGGUUUGCUAGGAUAAGGUGGGUUAGAGGCUUGGUUUAACAAUAUGGGAGGCAUGAUAAGCAAGUGGUAGGUAUCACAGCAUAGGCAUAGCAAAAGAGCGAGCAACUAGCAAGCAAAGAUAGAAGUGAUUUUGAGGGUAUGUUCAUCUUGCCUGAGAUCCCGCAAGGAAGAAGAACAAGUCCAUGAAGAAGGCAAACAGACGUAGUUGAACGGGUCCUCACAAACGCGACGUUCUCGAAACCAACCCGAAGAAAC